ACCCGCGUUGGAUUAGCUAGUUGGUGAGGUAACGGCCCACCAAGGCGACGAUCCAUAGCCGGCCUGAGAGGGUGAACGGCCACAUUGGGACUGAGACACGGCCCAGACUCCUACGGGAGGCAGCAGUGGGGAAUAUUGCACAAUGGGGGAAACCCUGAUGCAGCGACGCCGCGUGAAGGAAGAAGUAUCUCGGUAUGUAAACUUCUAUCAGCAGGGAAGAAAAUGACGGUACCUGACUAAGAAGCCCCGGCUAACUACGUGCCAGCAGCCGCGGUAAUACGUAGGGGGCAAGCGUUAUCCGGAUUUACUGGGUGUAAAGGGAGCGUAGACGGAUGGACAAGUCUGAUGUGAAAGGCUGGGGCUCAACCCCGGGACUGCAUUGGAAACUGCCCGUCUUGAGUGCCGGAGAGGUAAG
rnacentral:rRNA from 1 species